CUCAUUCUCUCAUAGACAGACAUGCCUUCACACUCACUCACAAUCUGCAUUUUGCACUCACACACAAAAAACAACUGAGAAGAAAAGUUGAAAGAGAUUCUUAAGAAAACCAAAAAAAACAUUCCGAAAAAGGAGAAAGUAGUAGAAUCUGAAGUGGUUUUUAUAAUCCAAACAAAUCAAAAGUUGUAGUUUGUCUUGAAAUCUAUAUUCCUUCUGCAUUUCUGGGUUUCCAAGUUAAUUAGAUGGGGUUUAUUGUUGCUUCAUGGUUGUUGUUGCUGUAACUAGUAGUUGAGCUCAUUCCCUGCAUUUUCAGACAUUUAUUUGGUCCUUUGUUGUUAUUUCUGCUUUUAGGUAUGUAAACCGUCACCUAUCAUCUUCUAUUUUUAGUUAAGGAAAUGAAAAUGUGCUCUGCUUUAUGUUACACUAGUAAAUUUGCUCGCGCUUCGCGCGAUCAUAAAAUGAUAUAUUUAAAUUUAUAAAAAGAAAAGCAUGCUUAUAAUGUUAGGAGGAAAUUAUAAAUAAUUAACAUAUAUUUGGGAUAAUUCAUAAAUUUUGUUCGAUUAGAACGUAUACUUCUAUAUAACUUUUAGUUAUUUAUCUAUUACUAAUGAAGCUUAUUCACGUUCUAUGUAUUUAAGAAAGAUUCAAGGAAUAGCAAAACAUUGUUGCUCUUGGACCCGAUUCUUUUUACUUUCAUGUUUUGUGUUUUUUUGAAUGUCAAGCUACUCAAGUCACACCUUUUAUAAUAUAAUAUUCUAGUUUCUCAAAUUAUCUCAAAAUUAUCUUGUAAUAUGACAUAGCUAAAUAACAGUUGUUGCUUUUAUUUUAACAUUAUUCUUAUUAUUUUUGAGUUCGUCACUUUACUCCCCGUGACUUGGGAUAUAUGCAAAUAUUUUCUUUUGCCAAAUGCACAUAUAAGUUAAAUGAUGAAUAUUUACUUAUUCAUAUCUUGAUGCAUAUAAACUGUAUUAGUUCUUACUCUUCCUCCUCUUGUUCCUUUUCCAUUGUCUUUUUGUUCACCUUUUUUUUGGUCCUGAUGAUCUCAAUUACCGUAAAAAAUAAAAGUCGUAUAUAUAGGUGCUAUUUUAUUUUCUUUUUGUUGUGACAGUCAAUGAACUUUGACACAAUGCAAAAAGAAGCAUCAUACUAUCACAAUCAACUUAAGGACAACGAAACAUAUAAGGAAUAUUAAAACAACAAAUAACAGUUAAAGAAUAUGUACAUAUUGUAUGUAGAUGUUUCAUAUAUUCCUAAGACAUUUUAGAUUCUUCUGCAAUAUAAAUGAAUAGUUUAGGAAUCAGAGAACAGUAUUUGGCAAUGUACUCCCAAAAUGACAAAGCAACCUGUGAUCUCAAUUCAAGAGCACUUAAGCUGUAAGUAAUCCAGUAGGUCAGGCUUCAUAUUUCAAUCUUACAACCCCUAAUGAAGCAGUGGCAUCCAACAGGUAAUACAACUCACCCUAUUAUUGAAAACUAUAAGAUAUAAACCCAUAAUUUUCAUCUAAUAAGUAUCAUAAUUUACUGUAUCAAAGUACAGAUCAACUGAAAAUGUGCAGAUUAAUGCUCCUAGAAUAGCAAAUAUGUUUCUUCAAGAAAUCUGAAAGGUUCAUGUAUUUCAGGUCCCAAGCCAACUUUUGUGGAAGUAUAGAAUCAUCGACGCAUCAGUUGGGUAGACGGUAUUCAAUUCAUAUCCCUGUGCUCCUAGCUCCUCACAACUUACUUCAUCUAUCAAAAGGUACUAUGUCAUAGAAUAAAUCAAAAUGCACAUUUAAAACACGUUAAAACACAAAUUCAGAUGCAAUAGUGCAAAUGUAAUUAUUUUAGCAAGAAGUGAAACAUCCGAUAUUAUGAACAUGAAUAGCAUUUAGCACCACCAGCGUUAAAUUUAUGAACAUGAUAUGAUGCAGACCUAAAAGCAGUCCAUGGAGGAAUGUGUAUUAUCCAAAACAUGAAUAUAUUUCAACAUGUAAGGUUUAUCUUACUUGACAUGCAACCAAAUAAUUUCUUUUUUAUAUUAAUCAAUCUUCUCUGCUUGCCUUUAUA
rnacentral:lncRNA from 1 species